rnacentral:rRNA from 1 species
CUGGCUCAGAACGAACGCUGGCGGCGUGGUUGAUACAUGCAAGUCGAACGGGAAACGGGGCUUCGGCCCCGGAGUACAGUGGCGGACGGGUGAGUAACGUAUAAUCAAUCUGCCCUCAAGAUUAGGAUAGCCGCCCGAAAGGGCGGGUAAUACUGAAUAAGCCCACGGUAUGGCAUCAUACUGUGUGAAAAGGAUUGGGAUCUUCGGACCUUUCGCUUGAGGAUGAGAUUAUAACCUAUCAGUUAGUUGGCGGGGUAACGGCCCACCAAGACGACGACGGGUAGCCGGCCUGAGAGGGUGGACGGCCACACUGGAACUGAGACACGGUCCAGACUCCUACGGGAGGCAGCAGUGCUGAAUUAUUCGCCAAUGCGCGAAAGCGUGACGGUGCGACGCCGCGUGAGGGACGAAGGCCUUCGGGUUGUAAACCUCUGUCAGGGAUUAGAAAACCUAUAUGGUUAAUAGCCAUGUAGCUGAUCAGUCCCAAAGGAAGCACAGGCUAAUCUCGUGCCAGCAGCCGCGGUAAUACGAGAUGUGCGAGCGUUGUUCGGAAUCACUGGGCAUAAAGGGUGCGUAGGCGGUAUGCCAAGUCGGGUGUGAAAUCCCUCUGCUUAACGGAGGAACUGCACUCGAUACUAGCAUGCUAGAGGGUCAAAGGGGCAAGCGGAAUUCUAGGUGUAGCGGUGGAAUGCGUAGAUAUCUGGGAGAACGCCGAGGGCGAAGGCAGCUUGCUGGGUGACAACUGACGCUGAGGCACGAAAGCUAGGGGAGCAAACAGGAUUAGAUACCCUGGUAGUCCUAGCCGUAAACGAUGAGCACUUUGUUCCGGGAAGCCUGAUCUUUUCGGAGCCGUAGCAAAUGUGUUAAGUGCUCCGCCUGGGGAGUAUGGUCGCAAGGCUAAAACUCAAAGGAAUUGACGGGGGCUCACAC